rnacentral:rRNA from 1 species
AACGUAGGAGACAAACGUUAUCCGGAGUUACUGGGCGUAAAAGGGCGUGCAGGUGGUCUGUUAAGUCUGGCGUGAAAGCUCCUGGCUAAACCGGGAGAGGUCGUUGGAUACUGGCGGACUAGAGGACGGUAGAGGCGUGUGGAAUUCCCGGUGUAGCGGUGGAAUGCGUAGAGAUCGGGAAGAACAUCAGUGGCGAAGGCGGUCUGCUGGGCCGUUGCUGACGCUGAGGCGCGACAGCGUGGGGAGCAAACAGG